AUGUGGACCGGUGCUCCAGCUUCAUCAGGCUUCGGCGUCGACUGGAGGAGCGACGACCUGGCACCAAGCCCUUUCCCUUCCUCCUGGUUCCCACGGACGGACGGGACCGACAGGAGGCAUCUCCUCGCUCGCUCCGCGGAUCUGCUACCCUCCUCCGCCGCCCUCCCCAUGGAGGAAGCCAAGGCUGCACAAGAUAGGGAGCACAAGUUCUUAUCGAUAGCGGUAGAAGAGGCCUACCGAGCAGUCGACUGUGGCCAUGGACGCCCAUUUGGCGCAGUCGUAGUCCGUAACGACGAAGUAGUGGUCAGUUGCCAUAACAUGGUUGUGAUGAACACCGAUGCAACCGCCCAUGCCGAAGUAACUGCAAUAAGAGAGGCUUGCAAGAAGCUCGGGAAGAUCGACCUGUCGGAUUGCGAAAUGUAUGCAUCCUGCGAACCAUGUCCGAUGUGUUUCGGCGCCGUUCGUCUAUCCCGGAUCAAGAGGCUGGUGUAUGGAGCCACGGCAGAAGCUGCUAUUGCCAUGGGAAGCUGCUACCAGAAUGCCAACCUGGAGAUAAAGCGAGCGGAUGGGGAUGGAGCCCUGCUUGCUGAACAACUCUUUGACAACACCAAGGGGAAAUUUCAAAUGUACUAA
rnacentral:rRNA from 1 species